ACGCUCGACACCUACUGGAGGCAGCAGUGGGGAAUAUUGCACAAUGGGGGAAACCCUGAUGCAGCGACGCCGCGUGAGCGAAGAAGUAUUUCGGUAUGUAAAGCUCUAUCAGCAGGGAAGAAACUGACGGUACCUGACUAAGAAGCACCGGCUAAAUACGUGCCAGCAGCCGCGUAAUAUGAGGCGGCGGUCGCGAGACG
rnacentral:rRNA from 1 species